rnacentral:rRNA from 1 species
UGGAGAGUUUGAUCCUGGCUCAGAGUGAACGCUGGCGGCGUGCCUAAUACAUGCAAGUCGAACGGACAAGUAAGAGCUUGCUCUUAUGAGUUAGUGGCGCACGGGUGAGUAAUGUAUAGCUAAUCUGCCCUACACUAGAGGACAACAGUUGGAAACGGCUGCUAAUACUCUAUACACCUCUCUAGCAUAAGUUAGAUAGGGAAAGUUUUUCGGUGUAGGAUGAGGCUAUAUUGUAUCAGCUAGUUGGUGAGGUAAUGGCUCACCAAGGCUAUGACGCAUAACUGGUCUGAGAGGAUGAUCAGUCACACUGGAACUGAGACACGGUCCAGACUCCUACGGGAGGCAGCAGUAGGGAAUAUUGCUCAAUGGGGGAAACCCUGAAGCAGCAACGCCGCGUGGAGGAUGACACUUUUCGGAGCGUAAACUCCUUUUGUUAGGGAAGAAUAAUGACGGUACCUAACGAAUAAGCACCGGCUAACUCCGUGCCAGCAGCCGCGGUA